AUACUUACCUGGCAGGGGAGAUACCAUGAUCACGAAGGUGGUUUUCCCAGGGCAAGGCUUAGCCAUUGCACCCCGGAUGUGCUGAACCCUGCGAUUUCCCCAAACGUGGGAAACUUGACUGCAAAAUUUGUGAUAGUGGGGGACGGCGUUCACACUGUCCUCUG
ensembl:snRNA U1 U1 spliceosomal RNA